GCCGGCAGGCUGCUAAAAAUUUCCACAGCGCCGUCGAGCAUCCGUCGAGCAUCACGGGGUCGAGUUCUCCGUCGAGCAUCCGUCGUUCCCGUCGAGGUAAGCUCGCUCGGUCGCCGCGGGAGCGCACGGGGUCGGGGAGAGGGAGGCACCGCGCGUGCUCUCCGCUGCUCGCCGCCGGCGACGCGGCCUGAGGUGGCUGGACGGCAGCGCGGCCCGAGGCGGGUGGACGGCCGUCGUCAGUGGCAGGGCUGCGCCUGCAGCUGCGGAUCCACGCGGGGAAGGCUCGGGCUGCGCGCAACCGAGGCGGCGGCGGCGGCGCGUGCUGCGGCCGGUGGAGAGGGUGAGGGGGAGAGAGAGGGGCAGGGGCAGGGGCCGGUGGGCCGGCUGCGCAGCUGGGCCGGCCCACCAGCGGCCAAUUUUUGUUUUCUUAUUUUUUAUUUUUCUUAUAUGAUGUAUAUUUUUAAUUAUUAAUUGCCCUAAAUAAUUGUAUCUGUUGUUUUAUUUUUUUACAAUUAUUUUGUCCUAAAUAAUUAUUAAUUGUUCUAAAUAAAUGUAUAUGAUGUAUUAUUAAUUAUUCAUUGUCUUAAAUAAUUAUUAAUUAUUAAUGGUCUUAAAUAAAUGUAUAUGAUGUUUUAUUUUUCUUAUAAUUAUUAAUUGUCCUAAAUAAUUAUUAAUUGUUCUAAAUAAAUGUAUAUGAAGUAUUAUU
rnacentral:lncRNA from 1 species